rnacentral:rRNA from 1 species
UACAGAGGUCUCAAGCGUUGUUCGGAUUUAUUGGGCGUAAAGGGCGCGUAGGCGGCGGGGUAAGUCGGGUGUGAAAUCUCAGGGCUCAACCCUGAAACUGCACUUGAUACUGCUCUGCUUGAGGACUGGAGAGGAGACUGGAAUUCACGGUGUAGCAGUGAAAUGCGUAGAUAUCGUGAGGAAGACCAGUGGCGAAGGCGGGUCUCUGGACAGUUCCUGACGCUGAGGCGCGAAAGCAUGGGGAGCGAACAGG